GAAAAGAUUAACACUUAAAAUGGACUAAAAAAUACCAAAUACAGGGCUGCAAAAUCAAAGAGUAAUAUUUCGGACUUCUGUAAGAGGUCUGUUUUUCAGCACGGUACUUAGAUUUGCUAAGGAAAUACCAGAAAAAAUACCAUAUUUCGUGAGUGAAUUCCGAUGAACUCCGUUAGCCCGGUGUGUUCGUGUAGAAGCGGUGUGGAAACAAAAAAUUAAAAAUGGAAGGAAGCCCCGAGAACGCCUGCAGGAGGUCAGUGCAGAUAAAAAAACACACCUAAUACAAGCUGUUGCCCGUUAUUAUGGGACUUGAGCCACAGAAAGCAGAACCAUAGCAGGCCAAAUCCGCAGAAUAGUGGAUGUCCUGGAGAUAAUCCAAUCGAGAAGACAAUUGAGAAGAAAAAACCACUAGUUAUACGAUCUCUGACGAGCUGUCCGUUGGCAAAUCGCUGGAUUCCACCAUCACCAGCUUCUUGGUAGCUAAUGGGGAGCUGGGGGACGCGUUGGCUUUUAUGGGGAGGAGGUAAAAAGGACGCUAAGAAAUUUUACCAGCCAUUGCCAGAAUGCUGGGCGCCUUUCUGCAGCAUCAGCGGAACAACCAGGUUCCCAAUCUGGCUCCCACUCCCUCAAGGCCCAUGUUGCCAUAUUGCGAAUCGGAGCUGGACAGCAGAUGGCGCGGGGACGAUUGCGAAGCUUCCGCGACACGAGAAGCCCUAACUUACUAAUAAUAUAAAAAAAAGCAUUCUUUGAAUUUAUUUCUUCAUUUCUUUGUGCACCAGUAGAUUCGUCUUUUCUAAAUUGGUAAAAUUUUUCGCCUGUCAAUAAAGCAAGCCCAGCUGCUUGACAGUAAGACCAUGUUACAUGCAUUGCGGGUGAACUUUUAAAACUACCGUCAAACUACAAGGCAUAUGAUUUUUCAACUAGUAAAAUUCUUUGCCGAUCUGAGUACUAGGCUGAAAUAGUAAAAUGUUGUUU